UAGAGUUUGAUCCUGGCUCACAACGAACGCUGGCGGCACGCCUAACACAUGCUAGUCUAACGCUCCGCAAGGGGAGUGGCAGACGGGUGAAUAACGCUUGGGAACCUUCCCAGUGGUACGGAGUACCCCAAGGAAACUUGGGGUAAUACCGUAUACGCCCGCUAGGGGAAAGAUUUAUCUCCAUUGGAUGGGCCCGCGUCUGAUUAGCUAGUUGGUGGGGUAACGGCCUACCAAGGCGACCAUCCGUAGCUGGUCUGAUAGGAUGAUCAGCCACACUGGGACUGAGACACGGCCCAGACUCCUACGGGAGGCAGCAGUGGGGAAUAUUGGACAAUGGGCGCAAGCCUGAUCCAGCCAUGCCGCGUGAGUGACGAAGGCCUUAGGGUUGUAAAGCUCUUUUGGCGGGGAAGAUAAUGACGGUACCCGCAGAAUAAGCUCCGGCUAACUUCGUGCCAGCAGCCGCGGUAAUACUAAGGGAGCUAGCGUUGUUCGGAAUCACUGGGCGUAAAGCGCACGUAGGCGGACUUGUCAGUCAGGGGUGAAAUCCCGGAGCUCAACUUCGGAACUGCCUCUGAUACAGCAAGUCUUGAGUCCGGAAGAGGUGGGUGGAAUUCCUANUGUAGAGGUGAAAUUCCUAAAUAUUAAGAAAAACCCCGGUGGCAAAGGCGGCCCACUUGUCCGGCACUGACCCUGAGGGCUAAACCCGUGGGGAGCAACCAGGAUAAAUACCCUGGGUUUCCACCCUGUAAAACAAUGAAUUCUACCCGUCACCACCAUUCUUUGUUGGGGCCCGCCUAACCAUUUAUCUUCCCCCUGGGGUAAACGGCCCAAGGUUAAACUCCAAGGAAUUCACCGGG
rnacentral:rRNA from 1 species